UGGGGAAUAUUGGACAAUGGGCGAAAGCCUGAUCCAGCCAUGCCGCGUGUGUGAAGAAGGUCUUCGGAUUGUAAAGCACUUUAAGUUGGGAGGAAGGGCAGUAAGUUAAUACCUUGCUGUUUUGACGUUACCAACAGAAUAAGCACCGGCUAACUUCGUGCCAGCAGCCGCGGUAAUACGAAGGGUGCAAGCGUUAAUCGGAAUUACUGGGCGUAAAGCGCGCGUAGGUGGUUCAGCAAGUUGGAUGUGAAAUCCCCGGGCUCAACCUGGGAACUGCAUCCAAAACUACUGAGCUAGAGUACGGUAGAGGGUGGUGGAAUUUCCUGUGUAGCGGUGAAAUGCGUAGAUAUAGGAAGGAACACCAGUGGCGAAGGCGACCACCUGGACUGAUACUGACACUGAGGUGCGAAAGCGUGGGGAGCAAACAGGAUUAGGUACCCUGGUAGUCCACGCCGUAAACGAUGUCGACUAGCCGUUGGGAUCCUUGAGACCUUAGUGGCGCAGCUAACGCGAUAAGUCGACCGCCUGGGGAGUACGGCCGCAAGGUUA
rnacentral:rRNA from 1 species